rnacentral:rRNA from 1 species
AUGAACGCUGGCGGCGUGCCUAAUACAUGCAAGUCGAGCGAACAGACGAGGAGCUUGCUCCUCUGACGUUAGCGGCGGACGGGUGAGUAACACGUGGAUAACCUACCUAUAAGACUGGGAUAACUUCGGGAAACCGGAGCUAAUACCGGAUAAUAUAUUGAACCGCAUGGUUCCAUAGUGAAAGACGGUUUUGCUGUCACUUAUAGAUGGAUCCGCGCCGCAUUAGCUAGUUGGUAAGGUAACGGCUUACCAAGGCAACGAUGCGUAGCCGACCUGAGAGGGUGAUCGGCCACACGGGAACUGAGACACGGUCCAGACUCCUACGGGAGGCAGCAGUAGGGAAUCUUCCGCAAUGGGCGAAAGCCUGACGGAGCAAAGCCGCGUGAGUGAUGAAGGUCUUCGGAUCGUAAAACUCUGUUAUUAGGGAAGAACAAAUGUGUAAGUAACUAUGCACGUCUUGACGGUACCUAAUCAGAAAGCCACGGCUAACUACGUG